GGAAUUGUGUCCCAAAGCCAAUUUAUUAGUUGUAAGAAAUUGAAUUAUGUAUAUGUUUUAUUAAAAUGAAUAAAAAUUUAUUCUGGCAAUUUUCUAUUCAUCACAAGUGUUGCAUCUUCAAAUUGAACUCCUGUGCAUUGUGAUGAAGUCCUUAGGACUAAUUUAGUGGAUAAAAGAGGUUUUAUCAUUUAGUCCUUAAACCAGUUCGCGACCAAAUGACGAGCUGUCAAUUGGACGAUAGCUAUGUCAAGUAUAGGUCGUUGUGUGCCAUUUAGUUGGUUGUCCUCUUAAACCAAGGAGUGUGGAGAUACUGUAUGGCAUACAGGUGAGAUGUAGGAGUACAUCGUCACUGAAUAGUGACUCACCUGCGUAGCACUCCACUGUCGGGAGUUAGCUCGUAAAACGUAUG
rnacentral:lncRNA from 1 species